AAGAUUAUUUAGAUUUAACAUUUAUUCAUGUUAUUUUAGGCUUUGUAAUUGUUUGAUGGCUGGCAAUGAAGAGGACAUCUUUUUGCCUGUUCUUUCUUCAUAACCCUAAACUGCAAGCCCAGGGCACCCCUUUGUGACUCUAAGGAAAGACCACUUGACCAAUAGUCUCAAAAGGUGAGUUGCAAUUGUUGAAUCCUGGUUAUUUAACCUAACCUA
rnacentral:lncRNA from 1 species